UACGAAGGGGGCUAGCGUUGCUCGGAAUUACUGGGCGUAAAGCGCGUGUAGGCUGCUUCGCAAGUCGGAUGUGAAAGCCCUGGGCUCAACCCAGGAAGUGCAUUCGAAACUGCAGAGCUGGAGUCCUGGAGAGGAAGGCGGAAUUCUCGGUGUAGAGGUGAAAUUCGUAGAUAUCGAGAGGAACACCGGUGGCGAAGGCGGCCAUCUGGAUCAACACUGACGCUGAGACACGAAAGCGUGGGGAGCAAACAGG
rnacentral:rRNA from 1 species